UCAUUCCAGUGUUUUGUACCUGUGGCACAUCUAAAAACUGUAGGUCUGCGGCCCUCGAGGACUGGAGUUUGAGACCCCUGAUCUAGCCAUUUAAGCAGGAAAUACUGAGCCGGCCCCUCCCAUACUCCUGCCCUGCUGCAGAUCUACAAGGGACAAACAAUGGUGUGGACCCCUCCCAAGCCUCUUUGAGGACAUCUAGUGGACCUCUGACAGUAUGACCAUACAAGAGUUGAAAAGGAGAAAACCCAGUAGAUUCUUGAGGUACCUCUCUAUAAGCAAAAAGCAGAAACGGUAACCACUGAUCCCAGUCUUUCCCUGAGUCUUUCACAAACUUCUUCAACAUGGACUUCAGAGUUCCAUAGAUGUUGGGUUCAGUUUGUGCUGUUUGUUUUUUAAUGGUUUCAUUUAAUUAAAACAAAAUUAUGUGAGUACCUUUGCAAAAAUUCCCACGUUUACUUUUAAUGUUUUUUCUUCCUUACAAAAUGAGGUUAGGAUAUUGGAUUUUUUUUUCCUCAAAUGGGAUGUGAAGAAAAACCCAGUUUGUUUAAUGUGUAGCGCCACCUGCUGGACGAGUUUGAUUUUUGUAUUUAAUAGAAAAUCUCUUCUGGUAUGAUCUUCUCUGUUAUCUUUACUUUGACUUCUUUUUGAGAUGGUGAAGAAUAACAACUGUAAAAUUUAUGAAUUCAUGUCAGAUUAAAAGCUAAAAAUUAACAUAAAAUUAAUAGUAAACAAUAACACUGUUUAACUACAAAUAUAGAUUAGAAAUAAAAAGAUAAGAUAAGAUUUAUUGUCAUUGUCAUCAACAGAUUAC